UACGAGGGGAGCAAGCGUUGUUCGGAUUUACUGGGCGUAAAGGGCGCGUAGGCGGCCACGACAAAUCAGUUGUGAAAUCUCUGGGCUUAACUCAGAACGGUCAACUGAUACUGUCGGGCUAGAGUGCAGAAGGGGCAACUGGAAUUCUCGGUGUAGCGGUGAAAUGCGUAGAUAUCGAGAGGAACACCUGCGGCGAAGGCGGGUUGCUGGGCUGACACUGACGCUGAGGCGCGAAAGCCAGGGGAGCAAACGGG
rnacentral:rRNA from 1 species